AACGAACGCUGGCGGCAUGCCUAACACAUGCAAGUCGAACGAGACCUUCGGGUCUAGUGGCGCACGGGUGCGUAACGCGUGGGAACCUGCCCUUAGGUUCGGAAUAACUCCCCGAAAGGGGUGCUAAUACCGGAUAAUUUCUUCGGACCAAAGAUUUAUCGCCUUUGGAUGGGCCCGCGUUGGAUUAGCUAGUUGGUAGGGUAAAAGCCUACCAAGGCGACGAUCCAUAGCUGGUCUGAGAGGAUGAUCAGCCACACUGGGACUGAGACACGGCCCAGACUCCUACGGGAGGAAGCAGUGGGGAAUAUUGGACAAUGGGCGAAAGACUGAUCCAGCAAUGCCGCGUGAGUGAUGAAGGACUUAGGGUUGUAAAGCUCUUUUAACCGGGAUGAUAAUGACAGUACCGGGAGAAUAAGCGCCGGCUAACUCCGUG
rnacentral:rRNA from 1 species